CUGCUGCCUCCCGUAGGAGUCUGGGCCGUAUCUCAGUCCCAAUGUGGCCGUUCAACCUCUCAGUCCGGCUACUGAUCGUUGACUUGGUAGGCCGUUACCCCACCAACUAUCUAAUCAGACGCAAGCCCAUCUGUUAGCGGAUUGCUCCUUUCCCACUAAUAUCAUGUGAUAUUUAUGGCAUAUGCGGUAUUAGCAAUGAUUUCUCAUUGUUAUUCCCCUCUAACAGGCAGGUUGCUUA
rnacentral:rRNA from 1 species